CCACUUUCUUUAUUUGUCUUCACCGUUUGGAAAGAAAGGGGGAAUGGAGUUUUAGUUUUCUUCCAUAUUUGUUCUGCUGGAAAACCGAUUGGAAGAAGGCUUGGUGUCACAUGCAUGCAGGAAAAACUAUGAUUUUAGCUAGUUAGGUAGCUGAAAUUUCAAGUAACUCGGUAAUCCAGUUAAGCUUUUCCUUGAUCAUAGCUCUUCUUUGCUUUGUUUUUUUGGAAAGAAAAAGAAUAUGGGAGGAGAGUAGAAUCAAUUAUUAAGAUGAUAAAAUCAAGAGCUUGAAGAGGGAAGAAAAUCAUCUUGUUAUUGUGCAACUGCAUGGAAUGUUAAUGCAUGAAUGUUCUAAAUGUUGUGUUGGGAAUUUGUUGUUAGUAUUGUUAUAAUUAAACGAAGGUUUAUUUUGCUAGUCGAAGAAGAAGAAGAGGGCUGCAACAAAAAGAAAAAUGGAGACGGUAGAAGGUAGGAGAAGCGGGAAAAUCUUGGUAAGCUUGUUGGUUCUUUAAAUUUUUCUUUACGAUAUUAACCGUGAAAAUUUUCAAGUUUGAUUUGUUGUGGUUUUAUUUAAGACUACUAAUGUCCAAAUUAGGACACUUGAUAUUGAUUGAAUUGAUGAGGAUUAAAUUCGUUCUUUGAUGUCUGAAUGUUAAAUAAUGCUUGCUGUCCAGAUUGAAAUUAUACUAGAAGGUUGAACAUUUGUUGUUCAAAUGGAAUUUAAGGUUUUCCUUUAUGUUAUCAAAAUAUUAUGUAUUAAUGCUAUCCAUUUCAAAGUAUCUUAUUGUUGUCCAUAUUGAGAUCUUAGUCCAAUAUGACUAUGUGAACUUCUAAUAUCGUCUGAAAUUACGAAAUGUUCCUUGCAUCGACCACAUUGCUUCCAAAUUAUUUACUGCAAAUUACCGAUAGAAUUGUUCCCAAAAUAGUUGCUACCCACUACUUAUACCAGCUGCCAUCUGAUCCAAUUUCAAUCACCAAUUAGCCUCCAAACAGCUGGUUAAACAACCUUUAAUGUGUUUUAAAUAAGCUGCUUCAUUGACCUGCUUGAUUGCUUUCCAAUUCACUACUGAUCGAACAAGUAUUUGUUGCCCACUACACUGACCAUUGCUUCAAAAAGGCUGUUGGUUAGCAAAAUUUCCUCCACCGACCAGCCUUGAUAUAGUGGCUACUAAUUUCAGUUCCUUCCUAACUGAUUUCUCAAUUAUUUGUUGCUAUUAGCUGCUUCAAAUUGAUGUUGUAAUUUCAUCGAAUUUGUUGCCCCAAAUGCUUGAAAUUGUUGUUGGAUAUUAAUUUUACUGGGAAUAGAUGAAAAUUUUUUGUAGAUUAAAACGCAUUAAUUGUAAUGAAAAUGAUAACUUAAAUCUAAUUUUAAUAAAUUUAUUUGUUUUCUUUAUAUUGAAGCGAAGGUGUCUAAUAAAUAGUUGAAAUUGAUGUUCAUUGUGAAUUGAAGGGUUUUAAGCAAUGAAUGUUUAGAAUUACGGUUUGGGAUUUGCUAAUUUCUUAUUUAUCUUAUACUUUUGCUAUAUCACUUGCUUAGGUGAUUGAGAUACGUUGUUGAUUGUUGAUUGGAUUGGGAUUUGCUAAUUUCUUAUUUAUCUUAUACUUUUGCUAUAUCACUUGCUUAAGUGAUUGAGAUACGUUGUUGAUUGUUGAUUUAUGUCAAUUAUUAAUGAUAUGCUAUGUAUGAAAUAUUUAUUGAUUUGUUUGAAAUAUGUUAAAUGAAUAUAUAUUAUUUAAUUUUUUUUUAUUUUUAAAUAAACAAAUGAAUUGUUUCCGGGAUUUGGUAGGCUAAUUCGUGCUUUGCACGCAUCAGAGUAUCAUUAAAUGUUUUAUUGCAUCAACGUGCUUUGCACAGUCAUGGGCUUUGAAUAGGUAUCCGUAUGGUUGAUGUGAUUUUCCUUAUAAUGUUACUUGGGCUCAAUUGCUUAAAAGUUUGAGAGACUAAUGGAUUGAAGAAUAAUAGUCUAAAAGUUUAAAAUAAUUAUUGAAUGAAAUGUUGAUUCUUGUAAUGAAAGACUAAAUUGUAUAAAAUGGAAAAUAGUGUAUUUUGAUGCAAGUAUGAAGUUGACUUUGUAUUAGAUUGAAAAAUGUUAUGUUAUGAGAUGACUUGUUGAAUUGAGUUAUGAAUUUUGGUUGUUGGCAUAUAAUUGAAAUUCUAUGGAAAACUUGUUACUUAGUAAAUGUGCAAGUAAUGCUUUAGUUUAUCUGAUGAGGUACUAGGUGUCAAUUAUAUUCUUCGAUUUACCUGGUGAGGCAUUGGGUGCCAAUUAAAUUGACAAGCGCUGAGCCCAGUUGGAUUACUUCGACUUGUCUGAUGAGACACUAGUUCCCAAAUGUAUCAAUGAGCGUUAGGUGUAAGUUAUUCACUUCGAAAGACUAGUAUGAAAUUUGGAGUAUGGUAUGCUAUUACGGUAUAAAUAAUACAUUUGGUAUAAUGUUAUGUUUUAAUAAAACCUUGAAAGUUCUCUUAAAAUCUUAUCGCAUUGAUAUUGCUUAUAAUGAUGUCUUUGUAUAGAUUACUCAACGUUCAAUUGUUUCUAUACACAGGUUAGAUUAAGUACGUGAUCCUAUAUAUCGAUUUCAGCAUCCAGUGAAGAUCUCGGACUCAAUAAUGAUGGUGAACUUCCUUGUUAGUCAAUUGGCAUGUACCUAGGGGUGUCAUUUUGUAUAUUGUAUAUGAUUUAUUUUGGUUGAUCACAAGUUGAACUUAUAUGGCGUUUGACUUUGAAUACUAUAAAGAGUGUAUAAAAGUGUGAAUGAUGGCAUUAUGAUAAUUUAUGAUUGAAGCAUUUGGAUGGAAAAUUUUGAAUGUGGAUAAUGGAAUUAAGGU
rnacentral:lncRNA from 1 species